ensembl:lincRNA
UGAGUUCCAGUCCUGACUUCUUUCAGUGAUGAACAGCAAUGUGGAAAUAUUCUGAAAUAAUGAUAAAAGUAAGAAGUUACCAGUGUGAGACUAAUUGCAGGAACCAGCACUAGAUGAGGACAGAGCUAGAUUAUGAAGGGAGACAUGUAAAAAGAAGCUUCAGUUGCUUCCAUGUUUUUAACAUGGAGCAGGAGAGUCAUCUACUUUGGUGACAGAAAAAGUUCUGGUCAAUGAUGUCAUUAGAAUGAACAGCACACAGAAGGGAACAGUGUGAGCUAACCUGCACAUCCAUGGGAGUGCUUGUGCCAGAAAUCCCACUAUAUAAAGCCUUUUUCUCAGAAAGUCUGAGAGAGGCUUCUACACUCCUGGGAUACACGAUGCAUUACUCUAAAUGUACAUUGCCCUCUAUUCAUCAAACAAAUUUCUAUGUAAUUAAAAUAUGUUUUGAUGCAUUAAUUUAAGUAAGGGUAUUUGCAUUUGUAGUGUCUUUUUAAAAUAGAUAAGUUUUUACAUUUUUGUCUAGUGGUUUAGAGUAUGUUUGUAUGAGUAUGUUCGAGUAUGCACUUAUGAGUGUAUACUCACCUGCUAUGGCAUGUGUGGAUCAUAUGACAACUUACA